rnacentral:lncRNA from 1 species
GAGAGAUAGAAGCCACAAGGUACCAUUGCUCUUCUCCCAUUUUUUCAUUGAAACCCAAGGUGAGGAACAGAUGUAGAAUAAAAAGGACAGGUUAGUUGUAAAUUCAAAAGCAGGGACAGAAUGGAGUUGUGUCCUAUUUCCAGUUUGGGAUUCUGGUUGGAGGUAGCCUGGUGGAGCACCCAAGAGAUUCAGAAUUUCUCACAUGUCCCCAGUGAUACCGAAGGUUGAGAGUCAGCAGGUUUGUAAUGGGGCUGCAGUAGUGAAGGGAGCAAAGAACCCCUACCAGAAGUGGAAGAGAGGGCAGACUUGGUCAGGGUUCAGACGGAGCCCAGGGGUGAAGCUUAGAUGAUCUGAAGAGAGAAAUGAGGUUGGGCUGAGGUGCAGGAUGUGAACUGCUGGACUAUGGCUGGACUGAGGGAAGAAAUUAGCAUGAUACUAGUUGUAAAACUUCACAAGCAGAUGCAGAGAUGAUAGCGACCAACAUGAACACAGGUAAAGUGAGUUUACCUCAGCCAAGAGCCAAUGGGAGCCAGAGAGGAGCAUGGGGCUGGUUUAACCCCUGGGGUCCUGCCACAAUACCAUAAGGAUAUAUAAGUGUCUUCUUGUACACACAUAUUUUCUAGGAAAUCUUUCACUCAGGUGAGAUAGCUUAAUGAG